rnacentral:rRNA from 1 species
AUACGUAGGGAGCGAGCGUUGUCCGGAAUUACUGGGUGUAAAGGGAGCGUAGGCGGGACGGCAAGUCAGAUGUGAAAUACAUGGGCUCAACCCAUGGGCUGCAUUUGAAACUGCUGUUCUUGAGUGAAGUAGAGGUAAGCGGAAUUCCUGGUGUAGCGGUGAAAUGCGUAGAUAUCAGGAGGAACACCGGUGGCGAAGGCGGCUUACUGGGCUUUUACUGACGCUGAGGCUCGAAAGCGUGGGGAGCAAACAGGAUUAGAUACCCUGGUAGUCCACGCUGUAAACGAUGAUUACUAGGUGUGGGGGGACUGACCCCUUCCGUGCCGCAGUUAACACAAUAAGUAAUCCACCUGGGGAGUACGGCCGCAAGGUUGAAACUCAAAUGAAUUGACGGGG